rnacentral:rRNA from 1 species
GACGAACGCUGGCGGCGUGCUUAACACAUGCAAGUCGAACGGAAAGGCCCUGCUUUUGUGGGGUGCUCGAGUGGCGAACGGUUGAGUAACACGUGAGUAACCUGCCCUUGACUUUGGUAUAACUUCAGGAAACUGGGGCUAAUACCGGAUAGGAGCUCCUGCUGCAUGGUGGGGGUUGGAAAGUUUCGGCGGUUGGGGAUGGACUCGCGGCUUAUCAGCUUGUUGGUGGGGUAGUGGCUUACCAAGGCUUUGACGGGUAGCCGGCCUGAGAGGGUGACCGGCCACAGUGGGACUGAGAUACGGCCCAGACUCCUACGGGAGGCAGCAGUGGGGAAUAUUGCAAAAUGGGCGGAAGCCUGAUGCAGCAACGCCGCGUGCGGGAUGACGGCCUUCGGGUUGUAAACCGCUUUCGCCUGUGACGAAGCGUGAGUGACGGUAAUGGGUAAAGAAGCACCGGCUAACUACGUG